CCCUUAGAUGUUCUGGGCUGCACGCGCGCGACAAUGACGUUUGCAACGAGAUUGCGAGGCCGUCAGGUCGAGCUGAUCUUGCAAGCUGCGUCGUGAUAGGGACAGUCGAUUGCAAUUAUUCGACUCGAACGAGGAAUUCCUUGUAAUCGCGCAUCAUCAGUGCGCGCUGAAUACGUCCCUGCCCUUUGUACACACCGCCCGUCGCUCCUACCGAUUGAGUGGUCCGGUGAGGCUUUGGGAUCUGAGCGGAAAGAGCGUUUCGCUGUUUCUGCUCGGAAAACUCAGUCGAACCUUAUCAUUUAGAGGAAGGAGAAGUCGUAACA
rnacentral:rRNA from 1 species